rnacentral:rRNA from 1 species
AUUGAACGCUGGCGGAAUGCUUUACACAUGCAAGUCGAACGGUAGAGGGGGCAACCCCUCGAGAGUGGCGAACGGGUGAGUAAUAUAUCGGAACGUGCCCAGUCGUGGGGGAUAACGUAGCGAAAGUUACGCUAAUACCGCAUACGAUCUAAGGAUGAAAGCGGGGGAUCGCAAGACCUCGCGCGAUUGGAGCGGCCGAUAUCUGAUUAGGUAGUUGGUGGGGUAAAGGCUCACCAAGCCAACGAUCUGUAGCUGGUCUGAGAGGACGACCAGCCACACUGGAACUGCGACCCGGUCCAGACUCCUACGGGAGGCAGCAGUGGGGAAUUUUGGACAAUGGACGCAAGUCUGAUCCAGCCAUUCCGCGUGCAGGAUGAAGGCCCUCGGGUUGUAAACUGCUUUUGUACGGAACGAAAAGGUCUCUCUUAAUACGGGGGGCUCAUGACGGUACCGUAAGAAUAAGCACCGGCUAACUACGUGCCAGCCGCCGCCGCGG